ACGCUCGCUUUGGCAACACAUGCACUAACACUGGAACGAUACAGCGAAGAUUGGCAUGGCCCUUGUACAGGCUGACACGCAAAUUCAUGACGCGUUCCAUAUUGAA
ensembl:snRNA U6 U6 spliceosomal RNA